GACGAACGCUGGCGGCGUGCUUAACACAUGCAAGUCGAACGGAGCACCCCUGAAAGAGAUUUCGGUCAAUGGAAGGGAAUGCUUAGUGGCGGACUGGUGAGUAACGCGUGAGGAACCUGCCUUCCAGAGGGGGACAACAGUUGGAAACGACUGCUAAUACCGCAUGACACAUGACCGUGGCAUCACGGACAUGUCAAAGAUUUAUCGCUGGAAGAUGGCCUCGCGUCUGAUUAGCUAGUUGGUAGGGCAACGGCCUACCAAGGCGACGAUCAGUAGCCGGACUGAGAGGUUGACCGGCCACAUUGGGACUGAGAUACGGCCCAG
rnacentral:rRNA from 1 species